ACUCAAAUGAAUUGACGGGGACCCGCACAAGCAGCGGAGCGUGUGGUUUAAUUCGAUGCAACGCGAAGAACCUUACCAAGGCUUGACAUGCAAUUGCACCACCCGUAAUGGGGUGUCCCUUCGGGGCGGUUGCACAGGUGCUGCAUGGCUGUCGUCAGCUCGUGUCGUGAGAUGUUGGGUUCAGUCCCGCAACGAGCGCAACCCCUGCCGCUAGUUAGGAUGUCUAGCGGGACCGCCGCGAUCAACGCGGAGGAAGGCGGGGAUGACGUCAAGUCAGCACGGCCCUUACGCCUUGGGCUACACACACGCUACAAUGGUCGGUACAACGGGCUGCCAACCCGCGAGGGGGAGCCAAUCCCAACAAAACCGGCCUCAGUUCAGAUUGUAGGCUGAAACCCGCCUGCAUGAAGGAGGAGUUGCUAGUAACCGUGGGUCAGCACACUACGGUGAAUACGUUCCCGGGUCUUGUACACACCGCCCGU
rnacentral:rRNA from 1 species